rnacentral:rRNA from 1 species
GAAAUCUUAGGUAAAUCCGGGGUUUCAAGGCCGAGAGCUGAUGACGAGUCGUCUUUUAGAUGACGAAGUGGUUGAUGCCAUGCUUCCAAGAAAAGCUUCUAAGCUUCAGGUAACCAGGAACCGUACCCCAAACCGACACAGGUGGUCGGGUAGAGAAUACCAAGGCGCUUGAGAGAACUCGGGUGAAGGAACUAGGCAAAAUGGCACCGUAACUUCGGGAGAAGGUGCGCCGGCUAGGGUGAAGGAUUUACUCCGUAAGCUCUGGCUGGUCGAAGAUACCAGGCCGCUGCGACUGUUUAUUAAAAACACAGCACUCUGCAAACACGAAAGUGGACGUAUAGGGUGUGACGCCUCCCCGGUGCCGGAAGGUUAAUUGAUGGGGUUAGCGCAAGCGAAGCUCUUGAUCGAAGCCCCGAUAAACGGCGGCCGUAACUAUAACGGUCCUAAGGUAGCGAAAUUCCUUGUCGGGUAAGUUCCGACCUGCACGAAUGGCGUAACGAUGGCGGCGCUGUCUCCACCCGAGACUCAGUGAAAUUGAAAUCGCUGUGAAGAUGCAGUGUAUCCGCGGCUAGACGGAAAGACCCCGCGAACCUUUACUGUAGCUUUGCACUGGACUUUGAGCCUGCUUGUGUGGGAUAGGUGGGAGGCUUUGAAGCGUGGACGCCAGUUCGCGUGGAGCCAUCCUUGAAAUACCACCCUGGCAUGCUUGAGGUUCUAACUCUGGUCCGUAAUCCGGAUCGAGGGCAGUGUAUGGUGGGCAGUUUGACUGGGGCGGUCUCCUCCUAAAGAGUAACGGAGGAGUACGAAGGUGCGCUCAGACCGGUCGGAAAUCGGUCGCAGAGUAUAAAGGCGAAAGCGCGCUUGACUGCGAGACAGACACGUCGAGCAGGUACGAAAGUAGGUCUUAGUGAUCCGGUGGUUCUGUAUGGAAGGGCCAUCGCUCAACGGAUAAAAGGUACUCCGGGGAUAACAGGCUGAUACCGCCCAAGAGUUCAUAUCGACGGCGGUGUUUGGCACCUCGAUGUCGGCUCAUCACAUCCUGGGGCUGAAGCCGGUCCCAAGGGUAUGGCUGUUCGCCAUUUAAAGUGGUACGCGAGCUGGGUUUAGAACGUCGUGAGACAGUUCGGUCCCUAUCUGCCGUGGACGUUUGAGAUUUGAGAGGGGCUGCUCCUAGUACGAGAGGACCGGAGUGGACGAACCUCUGGUGUUCCGGUUGUCACGCCAGUGGCAUUGCCGGGUAGCUAUGUUCGGAAAAGAUAACCGCUGAAAGCAUCUAAGCGGGAAACUUGCCUCAAGAUGAGAUCUCACUGGGAACUUGAUUCCCCUGAAGGGCCGUCGAAGACUACGACGUUGAUAGGCUGGGUGUGUAAACGUUGUGAGGCGUUGAGCUAACCAGUACUAAUUGCCCGUGAGGCUUGACC